CAAUAGCGUAUACUAAUGUUGUUGCAGUUAAAAAGCUCGUAGUUGAACUUCUGGUAGGAGUGUCCCGGCCUUUUUGUUUUUACAAAUUGUAUGCUGUGUGACAUCCCUGGCCAUCCUUCUUCUUUGUUUAAAGAAGAUCUUUCACUGUAAAAAAAUUAGGGUGUUCAAAGCAAAAGUUUCUUUGGAAUAUAUUAGUAUGGGAUGAUAAGAUAGGCUCUAGAUGCUAUUUUGUUGGUUUGCACAUUUAGAGAAUGAUUAACAGGGACAGUUGGGGGUAUUCGUAUUUACAUGUCAGAGGUGAAAUUCUUGGAUUUUGGAAAGACGAACUACUGCGAAAGCAUUUACCAAGGAUGUUUUCAUUAA
rnacentral:rRNA from 1 species